AUUGAACGCUGGCGGCAGGCCUAACACAUGCAAGUCGAGCGGAUGAAGGGAGCUUGCUCCUGGAUUCAGCGGCGGACGGGUGAGUAAUGCCUAGGAAUCUGCCUGGUAGUGGGGGAUAACGUCCGGAAACGGGCGCUAAUACCGCAUACGUCCUGAGGGAGAAAGUGGGGGAUCUUCGGACCUCACGCUAUCAGAUGAGCCUAGGUCGGAUUAGCUAGUUGGUGGGGUAAAGGCCUACCAAGGCGACGAUCCGUAACUGGUCUGAGAGGAUGAUCAGUCACACUGGAACUGAGACACGGUCCAGACUCCUACGGGAGGCAGCAGUGGGGAAUAUUGGACAAAGGGCGAAAGCCUGAUCCAGCCAUGCCGCGUGUGUGAAGAAGGUCUUCGGAUUGUAAAGCCCUUUAAGUUGGGAGGAAGGGCAGUAAGUUAAUACCUUGCUGUUUUGACGUUACCAACAGAAUAAGCACCGGCUAACUUCGUG
rnacentral:rRNA from 1 species